CACUAGAUUAUUAUAUGAAAAGAAACCAUUCCUCAGAAUACUACUUCUCUGAUCUAGCAACAAGACCUUAAGGUUGUGCAGGCUAAUCAAUUUUCUCCCUUUGGAGCUUCUGAUGAUUAGCUUAUUCAAAUAAUUACGACACACAUAUAAGAUACAUUAAGGUUCAAGAUCAAAAUUUUCAUGCCAAAAUAUCAAACACAUACCAUUGCCGAAGUUUAAACAUCC
rnacentral:lncRNA from 1 species